rnacentral:lncRNA from 1 species
CCGAUUUGUGUUCAUCGAAUUUUAACGAAAAACGUAUCGUGAGAGGUUUUCGAAAUAAGUAUUUUGAUAGUUUCGUCAGUACAAAGUUUCUCGAAUUAUACAUUUUGAUAGUUUUGUCGAUACUAGGUUUUUCGAAUUAGUAAAUUUGGAUAGUUUUGUCAUUACGAACUUUAGGGCGUCGUUUAAUUCGAAAGUUAGGGCGUCAAAUAGUAAAAAAAAUAAUAAUAGUGACAUAUGAUACAUUUAUGAUCAGAAACAGAGCAACUCUCAGACCCAAUAUCUUCUCCCAAAUCUACGAGCGAUUCAUCUACCAUCUCCAUACCCCACCAGUAAUCCUCCUUCCUCUUCUCCAAAUCAACAAGAUCCUCAUCCCACCAAAACUCAUCCACCGCCAUCUGCCUCCGUCCGCCUCCCAAGCUGUCCCCAGUAAUCUUCCCACUCUAUACACCCUUCUCCUCCCGGAAUCUCAGUCGUCUUGUCAUCUCGUCGGAAUCUCAAAACAGGUAACUGCGAACGGAGGCUGUAUGAUCCCUUGCCGGAAACCGUGGCGACUUCUACCGGUGACGGCGGAUCAAGCCUCUUAACCGGCAGAUUGAUGAAAUUGGUAAGAGCGGACUGGCCUUUAUUUUGAAUCCUGGCCGCCUCCUCUGGCGCCGACGACGGGAUUCUGGAGUCACUGCCGGGUAGUCUUGUUGUUGUACUAUACGGAUCUUAUGAAUAUGCUUCUUAACAGUUUGGUAGCUGUCGUUCUCGUCGCCGGAGGAGUCAGUGGAGUCACCGUCAGCGACGGAGAUACGAACGAUUCUCGUUGCGCUUCUUCGUGGGUUGUCGAGCUUGACAAGUUUGCGGGUGACGGUAAGGUGCUCGGUGAGCUUGACCCUCGCCGGGAAACGGUUCAUUUCCUCCGGCAGUUGAUGAAUAAAGAUAGAAUUAAAAUGUGCAGUUGGAGCCCAGGUAUCGAAAAAGUGAAGCAAUUGGCGUGAGAGAGAGAAAGAAAGACAAAGUGUUAUACUGUUCAGAAUUCAGAUUAUAAUUUGAGAAAUAUGGAAAAGUAUUUUAUAGGAUUUUAUUAUAAAAACACAACAGAUAAAAGUCUAUAACUUUAAACGGCAGGUUUAAAUUUCAGGGUUUUAUUAAUUUUAGGAUGUUUGAUGGUUUCGGAUGGUUAGAUUUUACGGGUUUGGUCGUUUGAUUUAUU